rnacentral:lncRNA from 1 species
GACUUGACGGGUGUUGUCGAAUCCGAUGAUCCUAAUGAAGGCCUGGGGGUACUCCUUCUUGCACUCUUGCACUUCCUUCAACACUUGAGCUGAGUCAGUGCAUCCGAACAAAGGAAGCUUCCACAUUGUCCAGUACCGUCCAUCGUAGUAUCCGGGAGUGCUUCCGUGCUCACGGUGCACAAAUGCGUUCUACAAAAACACAUUACACAAAACCAUUCAAAAACAUAAAUCAAGAUUCUGCUUAGGACCUCUAAAUAGUUAUUAACUUGAUUGCAAGAUUCAUAUGGUCCAAGAGAUCAAGCUACUCUAUAAAUGAUUUUUAUUACCUCCAACUCGAAUUCAACACAGGGAAUCCACUUGUUGCGGAGAAGGUAGUCAACUUCCUUAGCCAAUUCAACUUCGGUUAGGUCAGGAAGGUAAGAGAGAGUCUCAAACUUCUUCUUACCAAUAGGAGGCCACACCUAUUUUUUGCCAUUUUUCCAAAAUCAACAAAAACAAUAUUAGUUUAUAUGAUUCGAUAAAUCAAAAACCCAUAAAUUUGUUUUUGGUAUAAGAGAUUUGACCUGCAUGCAGUUAACUCUUCCGCCGUUGCUUGCGAUGGAAGUAAUGUCGUUGUUGGCCUUACGGGUCACAGGGAAAGCAGCGGAGGACUUAAGUCCGGUGAAAGGUGCGACCAUUGUGGCCUGAGCCGGAGAAGCGACCAUUGUAGCGGAAGAGAGCAUAGAGGAAGCCAUAUUGCCUUUACUCUUUUUGUGUGUGACUUAGGUUUGGUCUAGUGCUUUGGUCAUCUAUAUAUAAUGGUAACAACAAUGAUAACAAGGUGAGGGAGUGAUCGGAGGGCUCA